AAAAUUAUUUAAAAUGGCGGCAUUUAUUAAAAUAGAGGAACUUGUUAUUUAAUUCGAUAAACCUCGCUUUAACUUACUUUAAUUUUAAAAGCCUAUAUACCAUUGUUCAACAAAAUUUCAACAAAAACAUCCAAGUAAAAUAUUAUAAUUAAAAAUAAAAACUCAAAUCAAGGUGUAGCCCAUAAAUAAAGAAUAAAUUAGUUACUAUCUCCAUAAAAGAACUAAAAUUUAAAAGUAAAAAUAAAAAAUUAGAAGGAUUUAUUAGUAAAAAAAAAUUAAUUAGUUUUUUUGAAAAAACUAUAAAAAUGUGUUCAUACCGCCCGUCGCUCGCGGGA
rnacentral:rRNA from 1 species